GAUGAACGCUGGCGGCGUGCCUAACACAUGCAAGUCGAGCGAUUCUCUUCGGAGAAGAGCGGCGGACGGGUGAGUAACGCGUGGGUAACCUGCCCUGUACACACGGAUAACAUACCGAAAGGUAUGCUAAUACGGGAUAACAUGAGAGAGUCGCAUGGCUUUCUUAUCAAAGCUCCGGCGGUACAGGAUGGACCCGCGUCUGAUUAGCUAGUUGGUGAGGUAAUGGCUCACCAAGGCGACGAUCAGUAGCCGACCUGAGAGGGUGAUCGGCCACAUUGGAACUGAGACACGGUCCAAACUCCUACGGGAGGCAGCAGUGGGGAAUAUUGCACAAUGGGCGAAAGCCUGAUGCAGCAACGCCGCGUGAGCGAUGAAGGCCUUCGGGUCGUAAAGCUCUGUCCUCAAGGAAGAUAAUGACGGUACUUGAGGAGGAAGCCCCGGCUAACUACGUGCCAGCCGCCGCGGUAA
rnacentral:rRNA from 1 species